GGAGGCACCCUGAGCAGCAUAGAUGGGUUAAGCAAACAGGUCUAAGUUUGGGGUGGCUGCAAGGGGAACCGCGUGGGGUUUCAAGAGAAGGGAGCCUGCAGAACUGAAGCCUUCCUACUCCUGGAAAGCAGCAGCAGCAGAAGCAGCAAUGCGUGAUGAAAGCUUAAGGGAGGGUCUUUGUAAAGAUUGGGUAUUCCCUGAAGACCUGCUCUCCACAACUUCUGGAUUCUUGGCCCUACCCUAAAUUUGUGUUGUACCGCAGCUAGAGGCUGUACCUCAGAAGAGAGAAGCUACCACUUUGCAGAGCAGGAAAGGCUCCUCGGCUGAUGCAGUCGUGAGGAGUUGCUGGGAAGAGGAGACUGUACCAAGAAGAG